rnacentral:lncRNA from 1 species
UCUGCUUGGGGAGAAAAAAUUAUUGAAAGAAAUACAGGAUCAUUCUGGUCUGUUUGUUUUUCAAUAUUGAUUUCUGUCAUUAGGGGUUAUUAAGACAAUAAGUUCGGAGUUAUGGCAUGCGUGCGACGGCCCGCUGGUGACCCUGCCUCAGGCCGCUCGACAACAGUCUCUACGAACGUAGAGCUACUCUACGAACGUAGGAUUGAUCAAUGGAG